CAGUUUUUAAAAUUCGUGACGCCGGCGGUAUAGCCGCCACCAUCCACCCAUCAAAGCACCAGCAGCAGAAGUAAAGGACACCGUGCGUGGCACGUCGUCGCAGGCAGAAUCCAAUCUAUCAUCAAAAAAAAAAAGCGCUGCACGAGGGAGGGAAAGCCCGAGAAGCCACCCUGCAACGAUAACUACUCGCCCGACACCACUCGGCGGCAGGCACAGGCAGCCCCUCUCUCACUCACAGCCCGGGUGGUUGACUACCCACUGAGCAGAGCAGCUUUCGGGGCGCGAUCCAGGAAGCCAGGAACGGCAAAGCAGGCGGCGCGGCGGCGGCUCCAUCGUGACGACAAGAAAUGGCCACCGCCCUCCGCCCUCCCCGGCUCCCAGCAGUUCCAGAGCAAGCCUCUUCACUUCAUCGCCUACCAAAGUACAGAGUUGCCGUCACUGGGCGUAGGAGCUUCGCCGCCAGGGCCGGCUCGUAUCCAGGCAACGUGGGCGUCCCGAAGCAAUGGUACAACCUCAUCGCCGACCUGCCGGUGAAGCCGCCGCCGAUGCUGCACCCGGGGACGCACCAGCCGCUGAACCCCAGCGACCUGGCCCCUCUCUUCCCCGACGAGCUCAUCAGGCAGGAGCUCACGGAGGAGCGCUUCAUCGACAUACCCGACGAGGUCCGGGAUGUCUACGAGCUCUGGCGCCCGACGCCACUGAUCAGGGCCAAGAGGCUGGAGAAGCUGCUCGGCACGCCGGCGAAGAUCUACUACAAGUACGAGGGCACUAGCCCGGCGGGGUCGCACAAGGGCAACACCGCCGUGCCGCAGGCGUGGUACAACGCCGCGGCGGGGGUCAAGAACGUGGUCACCGAGACCGGCGCCGGCCAGUGGGGCAGCGCGCUCUCCUUCGCCAGCACCCUCUUCGGCCUCAACUGCGAGGUGUGGCAGGUGCGCGCGUCCUACGACCAGAAGCCGUACCGGAGGCUGAUGAUGGAGACGUGGGGCGCCAAGGUGCACCCGUCGCCGUCCGACGUGACGGAGGCCGGCAGGAAGCUCCUGGCGGCGGACCCGGCCAGCCCGGGGAGCCUCGGGAUGGCCAUCUCCGAGGCGGUGGAGGUCGCGGCCACCAACGCCGACACCAAGUACUGCCUCGGCAGCGUGCUCAACCACGUCCUGCUGCACCAGACCGUCAUCGGCGAGGAGUGCCUGGAGCAGCUGGCGGCCAUCGGCGACACCCCGGACGUCGUCAUCGGCUGCACCGGCGGCGGCUCCAACUUCGGCGGGCUCGCCUUCCCCUUCAUGCGCGAGAAGCUGGCCGGCAGGAUGAGCCCGCAGUUCAAGGCCGUGGAGCCCGCGGCGUGCCCCACGCUCACCAAGGGCGUCUACGCCUACGACUACGGCGACACGGCCGGGCUGACGCCGCUCAUGAAGAUGCACACCCUCGGCCACGACUUUGUCCCCGAUCCCAUCCAUGCAGGUGGGCUUCGCUACCAUGGAAUGGCGCCUCUGAUUUCCCAUGUGUAUGAGCUCGGGUUCAUGGAGGCCAUGUCCAUACAGCAAACUGAGUGCUUCGAAGCUGCAUUGCAAUUUGCACGGACGGAGGGCAUCAUCCCAGCGCCGGAGCCGACGCACGCGAUCGCGGCGGCGAUCAGGGAAGCGCUGGAGUGCAAGAGGACCGGGGAGGAGAAGGUCAUCCUCAUCGCCAUGUGCGGCCACGGCCACUUCGACCUCGCCGCCUACGACCGGUACCUGAGAGGCGACAUGAUUGAUCUCUCGCACUCCUCCGAGAAGCUCAAGGAGUCUCUGGGUGCCAUUCCCAAAGUCUGAUGCUAGAGAUUCAGAGAUUGAUAGAAGAACGGUUUGGGAAGUGGGAAUACAAUAAGAUGAACAAUGUGACGCUUUCUUGGUGCAUGGCACACAUAAAUUUGAUCAAUAAAAGAUGUUACCUUUUGGCUACUGCUCCCUCCAUUCUUGAUACAUUCCAUCCUAGUUUUAAAAUUUUGUUUGAAUUUUUUUGUUUUAAACUUCGCACCAUUGCCCCCACAAUAUAACUCCCCAUUUGGCUAUUAACACUGUCAUUUCUUAGGGC
rnacentral:rRNA from 1 species